CUCAUACACAUAACAUAAAAAUAAAUCUAGUAGUUUUUAGUAUUUUAAUUCACCUCAUCUCUAAGCCUAUUAAAGAUGUAUGUUUUAUUUCUCAAAAUGAGGAUCUUCGCUUGUGUUUUUUUGUUUUUAUUAUUUUCCUGACAGUAUAUUAUAAUGAGUAUGGGAGAAUAUAUUUACAUAUAUAGAACUCCAUAUGUGUAUACCCUGUAUCUGUACGUACCUAUCAUUAUAUAUACACAACUUCAUAGUUACAUAUAUUUAUACAUACAUUCAUAAUUCAGUGAUACGUUAAAUUUUAAAAUAUAUUGUUUGAAGAUCAUUUAACAGAAAACUUUUUGUGUUUUCUGCAUAUUUAUUACCAAAUAUUUCUUGCUCUUUUUUGAGACAGGGCCUCAUGUGAGCCCAGGCUGGCUUCAAACAUGAUAUAUAACUGAGGCUGACCUAGAACCCCGGACUCUUCUGUAUUCGCCUCCCAAGUUCUGGGUUUACAGGUGGGCACUGCCAUGCCAGGCUUUGAUUUCUUUUUCAAUCUGUGUGUAUACAUGAGGGUGCAGGUGUACACAUGUGUGCUUGUCCUUGAGUGUACAUGAGGGUGCAGGUGUACACAUGUGUGCUUGUCCUUGAGUGUACAUGAGGGUGCAGGUGUACACAUGUGUGCUUGUCCUUGAGUGUACAUGAGGGUGCAGGUGUACACAUGUGUGCUUGUCUGUGUGUAUACAUGAG
ensembl:lncRNA